rnacentral:rRNA from 1 species
ACGCUGGCGGCGUGCUUAACACAUGCAAGUCGAACGGAAAGGCCCUGCUUUUGUGGGGUGCUCGAGUGGCGAACGGGUGAGUAACACGUGAGUAACCUGCCCUUGACUUUGGGAUAACUUCAGGAAACUGGGGCUAAUACCGGAUAGGAGCUCCUGCUGCAUGGUGGGGGUUGGAAAGUUUCGGCGGUUGGGGAUGGACUCGCGGCUUAUCAGCUUGUUGGUGGGGUAGUGGCUUACCAAGGCUUUGACGGGUAGCCGGCCUGAGAGGGUGACCGGCCACAUUGGGACUGAGAUACGGCCCAGACUCCUACGGGGGGCAGCAGUGGGGAAUAUUGCACAAUGGGCGGAAGCCUGAUGCAGCAACGCCGCGUGCGGGAUGACGGCCUUCGGGUUGUAAACCGCUUUCGCCUGUGACGAAGCGUGAGUGACGGUAAUGGGUAAAGAAGCACCGGCUAACUACGUGCCAGCAGCCGCGGUGAUACGUAGGGUGCGAGCGUUGUCCGGAUUUAUUGGGCGUAAAGGGCUCGUAGGUGGUUGAUCGCGUCGGAAGUGUAAUCUUGGGGCUUAACCCUGAGCGUGCUUUCGAUACGGGUUGACUUGAGGAAGGUAGGGGAGAAUGGAAUUCCUGGUGGAGCGGUGGAAUGCGCAGAUAUCAGGAGGAACACCAGUGGCGAAGGCGGUUCUCUGGGCCUUUCCUGACGCUGAGGAGCGAAAGCGUGGGGAGCGAACAGGCUUAGAUACCCUGGUAGUCCACGCUGUAAACGGUGGGUACUAGGUGUGGGGUCCAUUCCACGGGUUCCGUGCCGUAGCUAACGCUUUAAGUACCCCGCCUGGGGAGUACGGCCGCAAGGCUAAAACUCAAAGGAAUUGACGGGGCCCCGCACAAGCGGCGGAGCAUGCGGAUUAAUUCGAUGCAACGCGUAGAACCUUACCUGGGUUUGACAUGGAUCGGGAGUGCUCAGAGAUGGGUGUGCCUCUUUUGGGGUCGGUUCACAGGUGGUGCAUGGCUGUCGUCAGCUCGUGUCGUGAGAUGUUGGGUUAAGUCCCGCAACGAGCGCAACCCUUGUUCACUGUUGCCAGCACGUUAUGGUGGGGACUCAGUGGAGACCGCCGGGGUCAACUCGGAGGAAGGUGGGGAUGACGUCAAGUCAUCAUGCCCCUUAUGUCCAGGGCUUCACGCAUGCUACAAUGGCUGGUACAGAGAGUGGCGAGCCUGUGAGGGUGAGCGAAUCUCGGAAAGCCGGUCUCAGUUCGGAUUGGGGUCUGCAACUCGACCUCAUGAAGUCGGAGUCGCUAGUAAUCGCAGAUCAGCAACGCUGCGGUGAAUACGUUCCCGGG